rnacentral:rRNA from 1 species
GACGAACGCUGGCGGCGUGCUUAACACAUGCAAGUCGAGCGGACAGACGCGGCGCUUGUUGGUUUCUCGAGUGGCGAACAGGUGAGUAACACAUGAGGAACCUGCCCCUGACAGUGUGAUAACUUCAGGGAACUCCGGCGAAUAUCGCGGAGAAUCUCCUGCUGCAUGUGGUUGAUUGGAGAGUGUCGGCGGUGGGGGAUGGACUCGAGGCUUAUCAGCUGGUUUGUGUGGUAGUGGCGUACCAGGGGUAUGAGGGGUAGCCGGCAUGAGAGGGUUAACGGGGACAAUGGGCCUGAGAUACGGACCAGACUCGUACGGGCGGCAGCAGUGGGGAAUAUUGCAGAAUGGGGGGACGCCUGAUGCAGCAAUGCCGCGUGCGGGAUGCCGGCCUUCGGGUUGUAAACCGAUUUCGAAUGUGCCGAAGACUGCGUGACGGUAAUGGGUCAAGAAGCCACGGCUAACUACGUG